rnacentral:rRNA from 1 species
GACGAACGCUGGCGGCGUGCUUAACACAUGCAAGUCGAACGGAUAGGCCCUGCUUUUGUGGGGUGCUCGAGUGGCGAGCGGGUGAGUAACACGUGAGUAUCCUGCGCUUGAGUUUGGGAUAACUUCAGGAAACUGGGUCUAAUACUGGAUAGGAGCUCCUGCUGCAUGGUGGGGGUUGGAACGUUUCGGCGGUAGGGGAUGGACCCGUGGUUUAUCAGCUUGUUGGUGGGGUAGUGGCUUACCACGGCUUUGACGGUUAGCCGGCCUUCGAGGGUGACCUGCCACAUUGGUACUGAGAUACGGCCCAGUCGGCAACGGGAGGCAGCAGUGGGAAAUAUUACACAAUGGGCGCAAGCCUGAUGAAACAACGCCGCGUGCGGGAUGACGGCCUUCUGGGGGUAAACCGCUUUCGCCUGUGACGAUGCGUGAGUGACGGUAAUGGGUAAAUAAGCACCGGCUAACUACGUG